ACCUUGGUUUCUGCAUUUGUUGCUUGGCAUUGUGGAGAUAUUCUUUAGAUUCUUCUUCCCUUGCUGUGGUGUUUUUUCUUGUUGUACUAUGACUGUAUUAAGUGUACUGUCUGCUUUUGAUGGAGCCUUAGAGGCUUUGGAUGGGUGUGGACUGAGAGCUCUGUUUGGUUCCUCAGGGUUAAGGGUGUGCCAAAGGUCACACUCCCAAAUGACACAGUACUACAUGAGAAAAUCUGCUUAACCCGUGUCCACUAUUUGCAGCGUGAUUCUCAGGGUUACCCCAGAGCAGUUGACCCGGACUCUAUUAAUGAUCUAUCCCAGUAGUUCAUCCACAGAAAUUUCCAUCUAUCUUGUCUACUUGCAAGGAGAAAAAAAUUCUUCAGCCAUGAAAUGGAAAAGAAACCACUCCCAUGGCUGCCAACCUUUAAAAAGACAGCUUCUUGACUUGACUUUCAUCUUUUCUGCCAAAUUGGGAAAAUUAA